GAUCUUUGGGAAACUGAAAGAGGAAAACUUCUUUAACCCCAAAGAAGAAGUGAAGCUGGAAGCGCAUAUCAGAGUGCCCUCUUCCACAGCUGGCCGGGUGAUUGGCAAAGGUGGCAAGACCGUGAAUGAACUGCAGAACUUAACCAGUGCAGAAGUCAUCGUGCCUCGUGACCAAACGCCAGAUGAAAAUGAGGAAGUGAUCGUCAGAAUUAUCGGGCACUUCUUUGCUAGCCAGGUACUGUGCUGUGAGGGCCCUGUCUCUCCUGCAAGUCUCUUUUCAAUUCUCUGCUAAGCUGCUGGUGGCCUGUCAGGUGGCCACAGGCCCUGAGCAUCAAUCCAUGCCAAGAUGGAACCUCUCCCUGGUUCUUCCUGGCUCUUUA
rnacentral:sRNA from 1 species